CAGAAACGACUGCAUUUACAAGAGGAAGAAUACGAUAAUCAAAAAAGCAAAAGAAUUGCAAGACAUGACAAAGUGUGAUGUAUUAGUAAUAAUAAGAAGUCCAUCAGGAAAUACCGCUACUUUUGCCUCGUCAUGUUUUGAAGAGACUUUAUCUACCGUGAUGCAAGGUAGCAGUUUGAACGGUAAAUCUAACACCUCUCAAGACCCCCCUUCGACUAAUGUUUCCGAACCUCUAUCUACAGACUUUUCUGCUAUCAUAACCUCCCCACCAUCUCCUAAUACUACUUCAAUUUCUUCUGCACCGUCCCCUUCUGUUAACUCCCUUCCAAAGCCUUCUUUCCCAUCUCCCAAACAAUCUAAGUUUUUCUAUUCUAAAAAUACCGUUCAAGCUCAGAUUCAUUCGGAAAACACAACUAUCUUUGAUUCUCCUGUCCGGGCCCCCACCAGAGAAACAUUAGUGAGUAGGAAAAGGA